GCCGGACGAGUAGUCUACAUUUUUUGCAUACUGAGUGUCGUCUAUUUAGCUCGUGGAUCAACGGUUGUCGGAGGCAUCGAUCACACUAUCAAUCGUAGCACUUGGUAUAAUUAGAUCUAUUUAUUUUGAUUAUGGCAUGUAUAGGACCCUGACUUUAAAAUUUUGUGUCUUUGUUAAUUGGCCAAAUGUGUUGGCGUGCUUUAGCAUUUUGAUUCAUUUUGUACAAGGUCAUGGAAAUGGCUAAAGUUGAAAGUUGUUAUAUGAAAACAAGAAGUUGUUUCAUGAAUGGGUAAUUUGUUGGUUGUUUUAGUAAAUAUGAAA